rnacentral:lncRNA from 1 species
CUUCUCGUUAACUGUGACAACCACACACGUCCUUUUCUUUCCUUAUUUCCUUACUCUUUCUCUUUCUUUUUUUCGUGCUUUUGAAGUUUAAUCUUAACCUAAAAAGGAAUCUACCCUCUCAAUCAGAGAGAUUCACAGCUGCCUUUUCCCACAAAAUCUGUACUACGUACUCAACAACUACCGCACGUACCAACAUGCACUUUCCCUUUUUUCUAAUCUAUUUUUCUUCUCAUUUCAGUUUGUAAGGAUUCAUCC